rnacentral:rRNA from 1 species
UACGAAGGGGGCUAGCGUUGCUCGGAAUUACUGGGCGUAAAGCGCGCGCAGGCGGCCUAUUAAGUUGGGGGUGAAAGCCCGGAGCUCAACUCCGGAAUUGCCUUCAAAACUGGCAGGCUGGAGUACGGCAGAGGAGAGUGGAAUUCCCAGUGUAGAGGUGAAAUUCGUAGAUAUUGGGAAGAACACCAGUGGCGAAGGCGGCUCUCUGGUCCGUUACUGACGCUGAGGCGCGAAAGCGUGGGGAGCAAAC